UACAUCGGAACGUGCCCAAUCGUGGGGGAUAACGUAGCGAAAGCUACGCUAAUACCGCAUACGAUCUACGGAUGAAAGCAGGGGAUCGCAAGACCUUGCGCGAAUGGAGCGGCCGAUGGCAGAUUAGGUAGUUGGUGGGGUAAAGGCUCACCAAGCCUUCGAUCUGUAGCUGGUCUGAGAGGACGACCAGCCACACUGGGACUGAGACACGGCCCAG
rnacentral:rRNA from 1 species